rnacentral:rRNA from 1 species
UACAGAGGUCUCAAGCGUUGUUCGGAUUCAUUGGGCGUAAAGGGUGUGUAGGUGGCGCCGUAAGUCGGGUGUGAAAUUUCGGAGCUUAACUCCGAAACUGCAUUCGAUACUGCGGUGCUUGAGGACUGGAGAGGAGACUGGAAUUCAUGGUGUAGCAGUGAAAUGCGUAGAGAUCAUGAGGAAGACCAGUGGCGAAGGCGGCUCACUGGCCCGGUACUGACGCUGAGGUGCGAAAGCGUGGGGAGCAAACAGG